CAUGCGGUCACCGUAGGAGGGUGGACCUAGGAGCCCCCUCACUCUGUCCACUGAAUCCCUCUCUUCACACCCCUCCUGCCAGGGGCAGCCCCUCCAGGAAAGAUGCCCAAAGCCGAGGGGCUGGACAUGGCCUCUUCAACUGGGAAUCGCUGGAGGGCAGCCUCUCCCCUGCCCCUGGACCACAGCAGCCAGUCUGAGCCCCAGCCCCCUCGCUGCUUCAGCUACCGCUCCAAAGAUAUAUCUCUUCCUGUGGAUUCUUUUGAAAGUCUCUCUCUUCAUGCCACCCUGAGGGUCAGGCUUAUUCUAGAAGUGCAAUGAAAAGAAUGCUAGACCCAAUUGAGAUGCCUGGAUUCUAGUCCAGCUCUGCCAGUUAGGAAAGUGAUCCUGAGGACAGGAGCAUGUCAAGGGGCCCCAAGGACCAACCUGAAAGAAUGCCAGGCAGCAAAAGAUGGAACCAUUUGAGUAACAUCAUGAUACGGGAUUUUUGGACUGGAGCACACGGCGUUCCCCUGGGCAGGAUGGCUUCCCUGGGCUCUUUGUCCAUCAGAGUCGAAGAAUGAAACCACAGACAGAAGAUGUACAGCAAAGGUGGAAAUUUAUUGAAGGACAAGCACAGAUUCCCACGUGGGGAGGGGGAGUCACACAGCACAGACUCCCAUGUGGGGAGGGGGAGUCACACAGCACAGACUGGGGAGGGAGAAAGAGUCCCACCGAGUUCCUUUUUUCACGGUUUAUAAAGUCUGCAGUUUUUUGUGCCUCGA